rnacentral:tRNA from 1 species
AUUCUAUUAGUAUAUAAGUAUAUUUAAUUUCCAAUUAAAAGGAUUAAUAAAAUUAAAUAGAAUA